AUUGAACGCUGGCGGCAGGCCUAACACAUGCAAGUCGAGCGAGCGGCGGACGGGUGAGUAAUGUCUGGGAAACUGCCGGAUGGAGGGGGAUAACUACUGGAAACGGUAGCUAAUACCGCAUACCAUCAGAUGUGCACAGAUGGGAUUAGCUAGUAGGUGGGGGAAUGGCUCACCUAGGCGACGAUCCCUAGCUGGGCUGAGAGGAUGACCGGCCACAGGGGACUGGGGCAACGGUCCGACCUCCUACGGGAGGCAGCAGUGGGGAAUAUUGCACAAUGGGGGAAAGCCUGAUGCGGCAAUGCCGCUGGGGGGAAAAGGGCCUCCGGUUGUAAAGGCACGUUCAGCGAGGAGGCGUUACCCGCAGAAGAAGCAACGGCUAACUCCGUGCCAGCAGCCGCGGUAAUAC
rnacentral:rRNA from 1 species